UGUCUAAGACAGGUUUCUUAUUGUCCCCUUGAGGAAGGCGGAGGACAGUCAGUUUGCACUUACUUGAGGGACUGCAGUGCACAUUCAGCUGAUUACCCCAGGGAUACAAACACUCGCCCACUCUGGCGCUCAGAGCAUAGGCACGGAGGAUGGAGAAGGUUACGUUGGACCACAGUGUCCGGGAGACAGCCUUGGAAGAAGCUGAAUUCGGGGCUCCCCUCAGGCAUCUCCACGGCCGCCACCGGACCUUUCCCAGCGGCGCCAUCGCUGUCGCUGACGGGCUCGCCCUCGGCUGCGCUGGGGCCGUGGAACCGGCUGGAAGCGGCCGCGUCCGGCACGGAGCGGCCCCUGUCCUCGUCUCGUUGCCCAGCCUGGCCAAGUACCCCCGGCCCAAGCGGCUCGUCCGCACCUCAGCCCUUUCUUCGUGUUGCAGUUCUCCAGGACCCGUUUAGAGCACGGAUCUGUCGCGCUCUGUGGAGGAGCCUGUGCUGGAGUAGAUGGAUGUGGCCUGAAGGACUGAGGCUGCAAUCCGUGGAGAGCCACCUGAGGAGCAAAGUGCUGGACGCAGCUUAUUUCUCUAGAGAUGAGCACACUGUGGAGCAAGAGUUGUGGUGGGAGCUGCACCUCAUAAUGAGACUCAUGAUGGAGCAGUCUGUGCCAGAAUAACUUUUCUCCUUGGCUUGAAUCCAGAUUGAUUCUUGACAAACUGCAGUCUGUGUGAAGUCCUCAUAGGAUCACUUUGGGAAGGAGUGCAUCCCAGAGGAGGGGCUUCAUGCUGGAGCUGGGGACAAGGUGAAUGAACCAGCUGCAGAGUUGAAGCUUCAUUAUGUGUCCACAAUACCUAAUUUCCCAGUUCCUGCAGUCAGUUUAUUUCUUAAACAUCUCAUGGCUGCCCCAAGGCACAUAAAUUUCAGGAUAUGUUUUAGAGUAGACCUUUGCCUAAUUAGCUAUCAACUUGGGGACUAAAAGGAAUGUGAAUUAUUUAGGCUGCUGUUGAAUAAAGAGGUUGUGAGCUAAGUUUUGUCA
rnacentral:lncRNA from 1 species